GGAAGUAAAAGUCUUAACAAGGUCUCCGUUGGUGAACCAGCGGAGGGAUCAUUACAGGAUCGAAAGACUCCUAUAACCCCUGUGAACUUACUACAAAUACGUUGCUUCGGCGGGUGCCCCGGGUCUCCCGGGGCGUUCAGCCCGCCGGCAGCCUUCAAAUUCUGUUUCUUUGCGUUGGCAUCUCGAGUAUACAAAAAUAAGUUAAAACUUUCAACAACGGAUCUCUUGGUUCUG
rnacentral:misc_RNA from 1 species